GACUGACCACUCCAGUAGCCUAGUGGUUAGAGCGUCAGCAUCUGAUGCGGGAGGUUACGGGUUAGAACCCAGACUGAGUCA